rnacentral:ribozyme from 14 species
AAGUCCGUCAAAGAUGAGGGUUGCGCGGCAAAGUGGAACGCGGCAAACCCCACCAG